rfam:Schistosoma margrebowiei strain Zambia genome assembly, scaffold: SMRZ_scaffold0002407
GUACUGCUGAAAAGUCUCGCAAUAGGACGAAACGGCCGUCCAGUGC